UCUGAUGACUAUAGCAAGGAGGUCACACCUGUUCCUAUGCCGAACACAGAAGUUAAGCUCCUUAGCGUCGAUGGUAGUCGAACUUACGUUCCGCUAGAGUAGAACGUUGCCAGGA
rnacentral:rRNA from 1 species